GCUAAUUUUAGUUUGUCAAAUUCAGGUAUUUUUCCCGGAUCAAAAUAUUGGUUGUAUUUAUACAACCAUUUAUGUACCUCCUCACCUUCAAAGGAGAUUGAGAAGCAUGGAUGUUUUGGGAAGAACUUAUCUCUCCUGGUAGUGUUUGCAGACUUUCAAAGAAUCAUCCAGCCUCUCACAUCUUGGGACCUCUCUGGUGGCAUCUUGCUGAAGUCCAAAGAUGGUGAGCUCUAAUACCACUUUGCUGGAAGUUAAAAGGGUGAGCCUUAAAGAUAUAACAAUGGAGGAGAAAUAUAGAUGGGAAGGAGAAGAGCUGCAGUUACACUCUCAGAAUUUGUUAGAGGAGAAGAGAAAGAGGGAGAACGCCGCGAGAGAAUCUUGGAAAUUUCUGUCAUUCAUUUUCAUGCGUUUCUGUUUCAAUCAUUAAAAGACACUCUACUUCUUUUCUAUUGUCGGCGUGACACUCCACACCUGGCCAUUCUUUCUAACUUAUUCUCAUUUAAAAAGACUGCACAAAACGCAGUCGUUGGGUUGCAA